rnacentral:rRNA from 1 species
UGCCCUUCGGGGCUCCUUGGUGAUUCAUGAUAACUUCUCAGAUCGCAUGGCUUUACGCCGGCGACGGUUCAUUCAAAUUUCUGCCCUAUCAACUUUCGAUGGUAAGGUAUUGGCUUACCAUGGUUUCAACGGGUAACGGGGAAUUAGGGUUCGAUUCCGGAGAGGGAGCCUGAGAAACGGCUACCACAUCCAAGGAAGGCAGCAGGCGCGCAAAUUACCCAAUUCCGAUACGGAGAGGUAGUGACAAUAAAUACUGAUACAGGGCUCUUUUGGGUCUUGUAAUUGGAAUGAGUACAAUUUAAACCUCUUAACGAGGAACAAUUGGAGGGCAAGUCUGGUGCCAGCAGCCGCGGUAAUUCCAGCUCCAAUAGCGUAUAUUAAAGUUGUUGCAGUUAAAAAGCUCGUAGUUGAACCUUUGGCCUGGCUGGCAGGUCCGCCUCACCGCGUGCACUUGACCGGCCGGGCCUUUUCUUCUGGAGAACCGCAUGCCCUUCACUGGGUGUGUUGGGGACCAGGACUUUUACUUUGAAAAAAUUAGAGUGUUCAAAGCAGGCCUUUGCUCGAAUACGUUAGCAUGGAAUAAUAGAAUAGGACGUGCGGUCCUAUUUUGUUGGUUUCUAGGACCGCCGUAAUGAUUAAUAGGGACAGUCGGGGGCAUCAGUAUUCAAUUGUCAGAGGUGAAAUUCUUGGAUUUAUUGAAGACUAACUACUGCGAAAGCAUUUGCCAAGGAUGUUUUCAUUAAUCAGUGAACGAAAGUUAGGGGAUCGAAGACGAUCAGAUACCGUCGUAGUCUUAACCAUAAACUAUGCCGACUAGGGAUCGG